rnacentral:rRNA from 1 species
AGAUUAAGUUAUUAAGGGCGCACGGUGGAUGCCUUGGCACUAGAAGCCGAUGAAGGACGUUACUAACGACGAUAUGCUUUGGGGAGCUGUAAGUAAGCUUUGAUCCAGAGAUUUCCGAAUGGGGAAACCCAGCAUGAGUUAUGUCAUGUUAUCGAUAUGUGAAUACAUAGCAUAUCAGAAGGCACACCCGGAGAACUGAAACAUCUUAGUACCCGGAGGAAGAGAAAGAAAAUUCGAUUCCCUUAGUAGCGGCGAGCGAAACGGGAAGAGCCCAAACCAACAAGCUUGCUUGUUGGGGUUGUAGGACACUCUAUACGGAGUUACAAAGGACGACAUUAGACGAAUCAUCUGGAAAGAUGAAUCAAAGAAGGUAAUAAUCCUGUAGUCGAAAAUGUUGUCUCUCUUGAGUGGAUCCUGAGUACGACG